UGCAGGCUAUGCAGACACCAUUUAGAAGCUAUCUUCAGGAAAUGUUAGCUCUUGUAAGUACCCGUUCUAAUGUUGUUGCACUGUGGCCUAAUUAUUUCUUAAUUUUCAUUUGGAAUUUUUAUGAUUCUGACUAUGAGUUCUGUCAAAACCAGUUUAGUUCUACCAGUGAUUUACUACAAAUUUUUGGAAAUUUUCAUAUGCAUUUAUGUGUUUGGCUUAGGCCAAUAGAUCUCCUUGUAUGUGUUUUCUCAACUGCCAUACGGAUUUCUACUUCCUCUGUUAAUUCACUCGCAAAGAAGAAAUUUUUCCAUUGGUAUCUCUGAACAAAUGUUUUUUAAUGUUGACCUCAGUAUGUAACUUCAGACGUCAAACGGUAAAUGUUGUGCUUUUGUGGAAAGGGAUGUCUUGGCGGCUGAUGCAUUGAAAAGUUUAUCAUGUAGUUACGACUAAGUGCUUGUUUGGGUUUCGUUAGAAUGAUAUUAUAAUGAAGAGUAAUGAGUCCUAUGAAACGUGUGGAUAAUAAAUGGGUAGUAGUUGUAAAUGUAUGUUUAAAGUUAAUAUUUAACUUUGACUUCAAACUAUAAGGAGAUUUUAAUGAAAUCCAAACAAGCACGAAGUGUCAAAUCUUUCCUUGAUCUGUCUUGAUGUCUUUAUCUCCCAGUUUCUUGAUCUUUAUAUUCGUAGUGCAAGAAAAUAAUGAAUUGCUUUGCCUUUGUGAUGUCUUUUACUUGGAACAUGGUAUUGGUAAAAGAUUAGUGCAAGUGAUUUGGGUUUAUUUUCAUGAAAUUCUCCAAAAUUGUGGGCAGAGAAUGCUGUACAUAGGAUGUUUCUGCGAUCUUCCUUUUCCGAUAAAUACUUACAUUUGAAGUACUAAUUUAUGUCUGUGUUUAAUAUUUAUGCAGGUAAAGAAAGAGCGAGCUGAACGUGAGGCUUUGGGCGCUUUGCCCCUCUAUGAGCGCACAAUUCCAUGAUUCUCUUCUAGUGCAGGUUUGUGACAUCCUUGGCUAAACGAUUAUUUACAGAGAGAUGGCCAAUUUCUAUUUCUGAUUGAUUUUCGUAUUCUGAAUAAUAAGAACAGUGAUCCUGCUCUAGGUCUAUGGACCAGGAAAUAGAGGAUUAUUCUGUAUUUCAUGAUGUUUGAUGAUCAAAAUCACUUGGAUUUGUUUUUCCUCAUCUGGGAUGUUUGUUCGCCCUUAACAAUGUUUGAACGAAUCUUUCUGUUUCUUCUGUCUCUCUCUUGAGUGUCUCCAUCAUCUUUCCAUCCCUCCAUUCUCUGUGCCUGCCUUAAUUCUAUUAUUAAAUCAC
rnacentral:lncRNA from 1 species